GACGAACGCUGGCGGCGUGCCUAAUACAUGCAAGUCGAGCGGAGNNGAUGGAGUGCUUGCACUCCUGAUGCUUAGCGGCGGACGGGUGAGUAAUACGUAGGUAACCUGCCCUUAAGACCGGGAUAACUCACGGAAACGUGGGCUAAUACCGGAUAGGCGAUUUCCUCGCAUGAGGGAAUCGGGAAAGGCGGAGCAAUCUGCCACUUAUGGAUGGACCUACGGCGCAUUAGCUAGUUGGUGGGGUAACGGCUCACCAAGGCGACGAUGCGUAGCCGACCUGAGAGGGUGAUCGGCCACACUGGGACUGAGACACGGCCCAGACUCCUACGGGAGGCAGCAGUAGGGAAUCUUCCGCAAUGGACGCAAGUCUGACGGAGCAACGCCGCGUGAGUGAUGAAGGUUUUCGGAUCGUAAAGCUCUGUUGCCAGGGAAGAACGCUAUGGAGAGUAACUGUUCCAUAGGUGACGGUACCUGAGAAGAAAGCCCCGGCUAACUACGUGCCAGCAGCCGCGGUAAUACGUAGGGGGCAAGCGUUGUCCGGAAUUAUUGGGCGUAAAGCGCGCGCAGGCGGUCAUGUAAGUCUGGUGUUUAAACCCGGGGCUCAACUCCGGGUCGCAUCGGAAACUGUGUGACUUGAGUGCAGAAGAGGAAAGUGGAAUUCCACGUGUAGCGGUGAAAUGCGUAGAGAUGUGGAGGAACACCAGUGGCGAAGGCGACUUUCUGGGCUGUAACUGACGCUGAGGCGC
rnacentral:rRNA from 1 species